rnacentral:rRNA from 1 species
CAGCAGCCGCGGGAAUACGUAGGUGGCAAGCGUUGUCCGGAAUUAUUGGGCGUAAAGGGCUCGCAGGCGGUUUCUUAAGUCUGAUGUGAAAGCCCCCGGCUCAACCGGGGAGGGUCAUUGGAAACUGGGAAACUUGGGUGCAGAAGAGGAGAGUGGAAUUCCACGUGUAGCGGUGAAAUGCGUAGAGAUGUGGAGGAACACCAGUGGCGAAGGCGACUCUCUGGUCUGUAACUGACGCUGAGGAGCGAAAGCGUGGGGAGCGAACAGGAUUAGAUACCCGUGUAGUCCCUGUCUCUUAUAA